CCGUACACAAAAAUGCACAUAUUGUGAGCUUGAUGAGUAGGGCGGGACACGUGGUAUCCUGUCUGAAUAUGGGGGGACCAUCCUCCAAGGCUAAAUACUCCUGACUGACCGAUAGUGAACCAGUACCGUGAGGGAAAGGCGAAAAGAACCCCGGCGAGGGGAGUGAAAAAGAACCUGAAACCGUGUACGUACAAGCAGUGGGAGCACGCUUAGGCGUGUGACUGCGUACCUUUUGUAUAAUGGGUCAGCGACUUAUAUUCUGUAGCAAGGUUAACCGAAUAGGGGAGCCGAAGGGAAACCGAGUCUUAACUGGGCGUUAAGUUGCAGGGUAUAGACCCGAAACCCGGUGAUCUAGCCAUGGGCAGGUUGAAGGUUGGGUAACACUAACUGGAGGACCGAACCGACUAAUGUUGAAAAAUUAGCGGAUGACUUGUGGCUGGGGGUGAAAGGCCAAUCAAACCGGGAGAUAGCUGGUUCUCCCCGAAAGCUAUUUAGGUAGCGCCUCGUGAAUUCAUCUCCGGGGGUAGAGCACUGUUUCGGCAAGGGGGUCAUCCCGACUUACCAACCCGAUGCAAACUGCGAAUACCGGAGAAUGUUAUCACGGG
rnacentral:rRNA from 1 species